rnacentral:rRNA from 1 species
AGUGAACGCUGGCGGUAGGCCUAACACAUGCAAGUCGAACGGCAGCACAGUAAGAGCUUGCUCUUACGGGUGGCGAGUGGCGGACGGGUGAGGAAUACAUCGGAAUCUACUUUUUCGUGGGGGAUAACGUAGGGAAACCUACGCUAAUACCGCAUACGACCUACGGGUGAAAGCAGGGGAUCUUCGGACCUUGCGCGAUUGAAUGAGCCGAUGUCGGAUUAGCUAGUUGGCGGGGUAAAGGCCCACCAAGGCGACGAUCCGUAGCUGGUCUGAGAGGAUGAUCAGCCACACUGGAACUGAGACACGGUCCAGACUCCUACGGAAGGCAGCAGUGGGGAAUAUUGGACAAUGGGCGCAAGCCUGAUCCAGCCAUACCGCGUGGGUGAAGAAGGCCUUCGGGUUGUAAAGCCCUUUUGUUGGGAAAGAAAAGCAGCAGGUUAAUACCCCGCUGUUCUGACGGUACCCAAAGAAUAAGCACCGGCUAACUUCGUG